GUCGUACAGGUCUCCGUAGGUGAACCUGCGGAGGGAUCAUUACACAAAUAUGAAGGCGGCUGGAACCUCUCGGGGUUACAGCCUUGCUGAAUUAUUCACCCUUGUCUUUUGCGUACUUCUUGUUUCCUUGGUGGGUUCGCCCACCACUAGGACAAACAUAAACCUUUUGUAAUUGCAAUCAGCGUCAGUAACAAAUUAAUAAUUACAACUUUCAACAACGGAUCUCUUGGUUCUGGCAUCGAUGAAGAACGCAGCGAAAUGCGAUAAGUAGUGUGAAUUGCAGAAUUCAGUGAAUCAUCGAAUCUUUGAACGCACAUUGCGCCCUUUGGUAUUCCAAAGGGCAUGCCUGUUCGAGCGUCAUUUGUACCCUCAAGCUUUGCUUGGUGUUGGGCGUCUUGUCUCUAGCUUUGCUGGAGACUCGCCUUAAAGUAAUUGGCAGCCGGCCUACUGGUUUCGGAGCGCAGCACAAGUCGCACUCUCUAUCAGCAAAGGUCUAGCAUCCAUUAAGCCUUUUUUUCAACUUUUGACCUCGGAUCAGGUAGGGAUACCCGCUGAACUUAAGCAUAUC
rnacentral:rRNA from 1 species